AUCAGGCCCGCUUCCGUCGUUUCCGGCGUCGGGAGGGGCCAGGCCGGCGCCGCCAUGGCGAAUCCGGUCCGGCGUCCGUCGAUAACCGGGCGCCACG
rnacentral:ncRNA from 1 species